rnacentral:rRNA from 1 species
UACGGGGGGAGCUAGCGUUGUUCGGAAUUACUGGGCGUAAAGCGCGCGUAGGCGGCUUUGUAAGUUAGAGGUGAAAGCCCGGGGCUCAACCCCGGAACAGCCUUUAAGACUGCAUCGCUAGAAUCCGGGAGAGGUGAGUGGAAUUCCGAGUGUAGAGGUGAAAUUCGUAGAUAUUCGGAAGAACACCAGUGGCGAAGGCGGCUCACUGGACCGGUAUUGACGCUGAGGUGCGAAAGCGUGGGGAGCAAACAGG